rnacentral:rRNA from 1 species
CUUAGUGAUUAGAGCGGCGGGAGUACACCUGGUCACACCCCGAACCCAGAAGAUAUGCCCGUUAGCGCCGAUGGUACUUGGCUGGAAGCGGCCCGGGAGAGUAAGCCAUCGCCAAGG